rnacentral:rRNA from 1 species
CCUACGUGAGGCUGCAGUGGGGAAUAUUGGACAAUGGGCGAAAGCCUGAUCCAGCCAUGCCGCGUGUGUGAAGAAGGCCUUCGGGUUGUAAAGCACUUUCAGUGGGGAAGAAAGCCUUGGGGCUAAUACCCUCGAGGAAGGACAUCACCCACAGAAGAAGCACCGGCUAACUCCGUGCCAGCAGCCGCGGUAAUACGGAGGGUGCGAGCGUUAAUCGGAAUUACUGGGCGUAAAGCGCGCGUAGGCGGUCUGAUAAGCCGGUUGUGAAAGCCCCGGGCUCAACCUGGGAACGGCAUCCGGAACUGUCAGGCUAGAGUGCAGGAGAGGAAGGUAGAAUUCCCGGUGUAGCGGUGAAAUGCGUAGAGAUCGGGAGGAAUACCAGUGGCGAAGGCGGCCUUCUGGACUGACACUGACGCUGAGGUGCGAAAGCGUGGGUAGCAAACAGGAUUAGAUACCCCUGUAGUC